UUUAAUUAUCAUAUAUAAAAGUGAAAAUAUAAAAUAUAAAUUAAUUUUAGUUGGGGCAACUGGGAGGGAUAAAAAUCUUUUAUUAAAUCAUUUAUAGUAAUAUUUAUAUUUGUGAUCCAAAUUAGUUAAUUUUGAACUUAGAAU
rnacentral:rRNA from 1 species